UUCCUAUUAUAGUAUUUUUUUUUGGAUCAAAUUCCCUAUUAUAGUAUUUAAAAGUGAAAAUAACAAUGAGUUAUAGAUGCUUUGUAACCAGUUCUCUUUAUUCGCUUCGAUAUUUCUCUCUCAACUUUUCUUUGUUUUUCUGCCAACGAUCUUUUCAUAUUGGUAUUUUUAUUAGGCUAUUAUAUGUCGGUAUGUAUUUCCAAAGAAGAUAAUUAUGUGUUUAAGUUCAAGGAAAAUUUGUUAGGAAACACGUUGUGUUUUCAGAAAACUGAUGAUCCACUAAUGCCCAUCCAUCCGUGUUUCCUAACUGAAAACCCAACGUAUUU
rnacentral:lncRNA from 1 species